rnacentral:rRNA from 1 species
UACGUAGGGACCAAGCGUUGUUCGGAUUUACUGGGCGUAAAGGGCGCGUAGGUGGCAAUUCAAGUCAGCUGUGAAAUCUCCGAGCUUAACUCGGAACGGUCAGCUGAUACUGUUUUGCUAGAGUGCAGAAAGGGCAACCGGAAUUCUUGGUGUAGCGGUGAAAUGCGUAGAUAUCAAGAGGAACACCUGAGGCGAAGGCGGGUUGCUAGGCUGACACUGACGCUGAGGCGCGAAAGCUAGGGUAGCAAACGGG